GACGAACGCUGGCGGCGUGCCUAAUACAUGCAAGUAGAACGCUGAAGGAGGAGCUUGCUUCUCCGGAUGAGUUGCGAACGGGUGAGUAACGCGUAGGUAACCUGCCUGGUAGCGGGGGAUAACUAUUGGAAACGAUAGCUAAUACCGCAUAAGAGUAGAUGUUGCAUGACAUUUGCUUAAAAGGUGCAAUUGCAUCACUACCAGAUGGACCUGCGUUGUAUUAGCUAGUUGGUGGGGUAACGGCUCACCAAGGCGACGAUACAUAGCCGACCUGAGAGGGUGAUCGGCCACACUGGGACUGAGACACGGCCCAGACUCCUACGGGAGGCAGCAGUAGGGAAUCUUCGGCAAUGGACGGAAGUCUGACCGAGCAACGCCGCGUGAGUGAAGAAGGUUUUCGGAUCGUAAAGCUCUGUUGUAAGAGAACAACGAGUGUGAUAGUGGAAAGUUCACACUGUGACGGUAUCUUACCAGAAAGGGACGGCUAUCUACGUGCCAGCAGCCGCGCCAAUACGUAGGUCCCGAGCGUUGUCCGGAUUUAUUGGGCGCAAAGCGAGCGCACGCGGUUAGAUAACUCUGAAGUUUAAGGGUGUGGCUUAACCAUAGUACGCUCUUGGAACUGUUUUAAUUUGAGUGCAAGAGGGGAGACUCGGAAUUCCAUGUGUAGCGGAGAA
rnacentral:rRNA from 1 species